AGGAAUUUAGGUUAACAAAGACUAAGAGCCUUCAAAGCUCUAGGUAUACAAGAAUAUGUUUAAUUCCUG
rnacentral:tRNA from 1 species